rnacentral:rRNA from 1 species
GACGUAGGGGGCCAGCGUUGUUCGGAAUUACUGGGUGUAAAGGGUUCGUAGGCGGUGCGGCAAGUUGGGAGUGAAAUCUCUGGGCUUAACCCAGAGGCUGCUUCCAAAACUGCUGUGCUUGAGUGUGGAGAGGCGCGUGGAAUUGCAGGUGUAGCGGUGAAAUGCGUAGAUAUCUGCAGGAACACCCGUGGCGAAAGCGGCGCGCUGGACCACUACUGACGCUGAGGAACGAAAGCUAGGGGAGCAAACAGG